GAUGAACGCUGGCGGCGUGCUUAACACAUGCAAGUCGAACGGAAUUAUGUGAAACCUAGUGAUCAUAACUUAGUGGCGGACGGGUGAGUAACGCGUGGGUAACCUGCCGUAUGCAGGGGGACAACAGUUGGAAACGACUGCUAAUACCGCAUAAGCGCACAGGAUCGCAUGAUCCGGUGUGAAAAGAGAAUCGGCAUACGAUGGACCCGCGUCCGAUUAGCUAGUUGGUGAGGUAACGGCCCACCAAGGCAACGAUCGGUAGCCGGCCUGAGAGGGUGAACGGCCACAUUGGGACUGAGACACGGCCCAAACUCC
rnacentral:rRNA from 1 species